rnacentral:rRNA from 1 species
UACGUAGGGACCAAGCGUUGUUCGGAUUUACUGGGCGUAAAGGGCGCGUAGGCGGCAAUUCAAGUCAUCUGUGAAAUCUCCGGGCUUAACUCGGGAUGGUCAGGUGAUACUGCUUUGCUAGAGUGCAGAAGGGGCAAUCGGAAUUCUUGGUGUAGCGGUGAAAUGCGUAGAUAUCAAGAGGAACACCUGAGGUGAAGACGGGUUGCUGGGCUGACACUGACGCUGAGGCGCGAAAGCUAGGGGAGCAAACGGG